GGAACUGUUGCCCAUGGCUGGUGAAAACAAAGUGGUACGUCUGUCUUGGGAAACAAUCUGGCAGUGCCUCCACACUUAACUCCAGUGCCAUGGACGAUAUGGUCCAUCACUAACGGGUCAGCCCUGGCUACACCAGUGGACGGGUACCAGGGAGCAUCAAGAGUGAUGUUUUUGGUGUUUCCAGUCUCCUGGAGUGUGUUUCAUGAAGCCCAGAACUCCUCUAUGUCUUGGGGCACGUAGUGAGACAAAGUGGAAAAACACAGCCUUCCCUCAAGGAGUCAAGGUUUUGCGGCUAAUACCGACAAGCUGGUUUGCAAGGUGUGUCCCUCAAGAAAUAGUUACAUGAUACAGUAUCACGUUUUCUGAAUAUUCAGUGAUAUUAAAACUGAUUUUUAAAUGCUAUUAAAAAUUGGUGCUUUAAAUUACAUGUCUAAAAAGUGAUAAUUAUAACUGAGUUGGGUUGUAUAUAUACCUUUCUUACAAAAGUCUUUGAAUGCCAAAUGCCUCUGUUAAUAGCAGCUA